GGGGAAUAUUGCACAAUGGGCGAAAGCCUGAUGCAGCGACGCCGCGUGAAGGAUGAAGUAUUUCGGUAUGUAAACUUCUAUCAGCAGGGAAGAAAAUGACGGUACCUGACUAAGAAGCCCCGGCUAACUACGUGCCAGCAGCCGCGGUAAUACGUAGGGGGCAAGCGUUAUCCGGAUUUACUGGGUGUAAAGGGAGCGUAGACGGCUGUGCAAGUCUGAAGUGAAAGGCAUGGGCUCAACCUGUGGACUGCUUUGGAAACUGUGCAGCUAGAGUGUCGGAGAGGUAAGUGGAAUUCCUAGUGUAGCGGUGAAAUGCGUAGAUAUUAGGAGGAACACCAGUGGCGAAGGCGGCUUACUGGACGAUGACUGACGUUGAGGCUCGAAAGCGUGGGGAGCAAAC
rnacentral:rRNA from 1 species